rnacentral:rRNA from 1 species
AAUAGCCUAACGGCUGAACCAGCAACUUGGAGGAAUGUAUAGCGAAAGCUAGCUGUAUUAAUUAUUAGUUGAUACAGUAUCGACUACGUCGACUAAAGUUCUAGGUAGAGUUAUGAUGAUGACAUUUUCUACCUAUGUGUCUUGACCAAAUCACGUGCCAGCAGUCGCGGUAAGACGUGGAAGACUAGUGUUAUUCAUCUUUAAAAGGUUUAAAGGGUACUUAGACGGUAUAUUAAGCCCCCGUAUGGUACUAAUAUACUAGAGUUUUAUGGGAGAGAGCAAUGGAGAACUGACGAGUGUAGAGAUGAAAUUCUUUGAUACCGUUAUAGGAACAGGUAACGGCGAAAGCGACUCUUUAUGCAUAAACUGACGUUGAAGGACGAAGGCUUAGUACCCCAAACAGGAUUAGAUACCCUAGUAGGCUGAGCAGAAAAUGAUGAAUGUCAUAGAUCAGAAAAAAAGAAAGAAAGAAAAAUAUAUAAGGAGUCUGAUCAACUUUUUUCUUUAUGGUUUAUAAAUGAAAGUGUAAACAUUCCACCUUGAGAGUAAAGUGGCAACGCAGAAACCGAAAUCAUUAGACCGUUUCUGAAACCAGUAGUGAAGUAUGUUGUUUAAUUUGAUAUUACGCAAAAAACCUUACCACAAUUUGAAUAUUUUAUUAUUAUAUUAAUACGAGCGUUGCACGGCUGUCUUCAGUUAAUGUCGUGAGAUUUUGGUUAAUUCCCUUAAAUUAACGUAAACCCUUACUUUAUUUUAUAUUAUAAAGUAGUUCGCCGCUAUAUUGGAUAAGAUAAAAGGGACUAAGACAAGUCAUCAUGACC